GGACCUUACUGCUAUCGGGGGAGGACUAAAACAUGCAAGUCGUGCGCCUCCAAGCUAUGAUGGAGACGCGGCGUACAGCUCAGUAACACGUGGCUAACCCCACCCUUGAGACGGAGACAACCCCGGGAAACUGGGGCUAAUCCCUGAUAGGAGAAGACACCUGGAAGGGGUCUUCUCCCAAAAGGCGCUUAGAUCAUGCUUCUAGACGUCGCUCAAGGACGGGGCCGCGGCCGAUCAGGUUGUUGGUGAGGCAAUGGCUCACCAAGCCUAUAACCGGUACGGGCCGUGAGAGCGGGAGCCUGGAGAUGGGCACUGAGACAAGGGCCCAGGCCCUACGGGGCGCAGCAGUUGCGAAAACUCCGCAAUGCACGAAAGUGUGACGGGGCUACCCCGAGUGCCGUCCGCUGAGGGCGGCUUUUCCCCGGUGUAAGGAGCCGGGGGAAUAAGGAGAGGGCAAGUCUGGUGUCAGCCGCCGCGGUAAUACCAGCUCUCCGAGUGGUAGGGAUGAUUAUUGGGCUUAAAGCGUCCGUAGCCGGCCUAGCAAGUCUUCCGUUAAAUCCACCGAUUCAAUCGUUGGACUGCGGGAGAUACUGUUGGGCUAGGGGGCGGGAGAGGCCGACGGUAUUCUCGGGGUAGGGGUAAAAUCCUAUAAUCCCGGGAGGACCACCAGUGGCGAAGGCGGUCGGCUAGAACGCGCUCGACGGUGAGGGACGAAAGCUGGGGGAGCGAACCGGAUUAGAUACCCGGGUAGUCCCAGCUGUAAACGAUGCGGGCUAGGUGUUGGGGCGGCUACGGGCCGCUUCAGUGCCGCAGGGAAACCAUUAAGUCCGCCGCCUGGGGAGUACGGUCGCAAGGCUGAAACUUAA
rnacentral:rRNA from 1 species